rnacentral:tRNA from 3 species
GGGCGCUUAGCUCAGCUGGUUAGAGCGCAGCCUUCACACGGCUGAGGUCGGGGGUUCGAGUCCCUUAGCGCCCA